CCGCGGAUAGCUCAGCUGGGUAGAGCGUCGGGCUGAUAACCCGAAAGACGCGGGUUCAAAUCCCGCUCCGCGAA
rnacentral:tRNA from 1 species